rnacentral:rRNA from 1 species
AACGAACGCUGGCGGCGUGCCUAACACAUGCAAGUCGAACGGGAAUGUCGGGGCAACUCGACUAAUACCGUGGCGAACGGGUGAGUAACACGUAGGCAACCUGCCUAUCAGUGGGGAACAACUUCGGGAAACCGAGGCUAAUUCCGCAUACGUCUCAUCAUCGUAUUGGUGAUGAGGGAAAGGUGGCCACUACAUGUAAGCUAUCGCUGAUAGAGGGGCCUGCGUACCAUUAGCUAGUUGGUAGGGUAAUGGCCUACCAAGGCGACGAUGGUUAGCUGAUCUGAGAGGAUGAUCAGCCACACUGGCACUGAAAUACGGGCCAGACUCCUACGGGAGGCAGCAGUGGGGAAUAUUGCGCAAUGGGCGAAAGCCUGACGCAGCAACGCCGCGUGAGUGAUGAAGGCCUUCGGGUCGUAAAGCUCUGUCGGCAAGGACGAAACUCCGGUGGAAAUAAUACUCCACCGGUUUGACGGUACUUGCAAAGGAAGCACCGGCUAACUCCGUGCCAGCCGCCGCGGUAA